CCUACGGGGGGCAGCAGUGGGGAAUAUUGGACAAUGGGGGCAACCCUGAUCCAGCCAUGCCGCGUGUGUGAAGAAGGCCCUCGGGUUGUAAAGCACUUUCAGUGAGGAAGAACGCCUGGUGGUUAAUACCCAUCAGGAAAGACAUCACUCACAGAAGAAGCACCGGCUAACUCCGUGCCAGCAGCCGCGGUAAUACGGAGGGUGCGAGCGUUAAUCGGAAUUACUGGGCGUAAAGCGCGCGUAGGUGGCUUGAUAAGCCGGUUGUGAAAGCCCCGGGCUCAACCUGGGAACGGCAUCCGGAACUGUCAAGCUAGAGUGCAGGAGAGGAAGGUAGAAUUCCCGGUGUAGCGGUGAAAUGCGUAGAGAUAGGGAGGAAUACCAGUGGCGAAGGCGGCCUUCUGGACUGACACUGACACUGAGGUGCGAAAGCGUGGGUAGCAAACAGGAUUAGAUACCCGUGUAGUC
rnacentral:rRNA from 1 species